ACUCAUGACCCUGAGAUCGAGUCACGCGCUCUACUGACUGAGCCAGCCAGGUGCCCCUAGUUGUUUGGGAACCACAAGAAGCCCAUCUUUAUGCAUAUAUACAAACAGUGUUUUUUUGUCCAUGCCCUCCAGCCUGAGACCACCAGGAGCGCUGGGAGUCAGACAAGCUGGGCUGAUGACUCAUUGCAUUGGGAGAGAACGCACACCCGAGGGGAACUCUGUGGCAUCUCAGUGAGAUGCUGUUGGAAAAGGCUUAUUAUAGGAUCUGGGCUUGUGUUGGAUGAUCUAGAGGAGAGUUUAAGGAAGUAGGUUUUCCUCUAGGUUGUGUGCUGUCAGGAAGCGGGAGUAGUUCCACAGAUAGGCUCUUGAUAAGCCUGCUCUGCGCAGAAGGCGGACUGGAGCAGGGCAAAGACUCUGAGUGAGUCCUGCAGGGGCCGGGGCACUGGACCAGCCAGGGUGGCAGUCUGUGCCAUCAUUUUGGUGGCUUGGAAGUUGUUGAGUUUUGUCUUUGUUCAGCCAGAUUACAGAGCGUCUUGCUUUUGUCUUGGCUUAUCAGGCACAGAACACCUUGUCUUGGUUCGGUUCAGUAGGACAUCAUCUGUUACCUAUGAGUAUCCGGCUCCGCCAGUCACAUCCAAGCCAGCUCCCCGGAUACUGGGACUGCUCUCUCUUUCCUACUUGAAAUCAAUGCUGGUAGGUCCAGGAGGAUUCCUUCUCCCUAAAGAUCUCCAGCGAUUACUCACCUUGGAGCCACAGGCUCAUUCCUGCUCCAAUCGGGCAGGCAUCUUUAGGUAAUAUUUUGCCAAAAGUGUUUCCUUUCCCAUUUAUGUAUUCUAUUAACAAUAUCUUAAUCUCACUUUCGGUAUUGAUUAUACAUAAAUGGAUUCUAUUAGUAACAAGAUAUGAUGAUACUAAUAUUUAUCAAGCAUUUGCUAUGUACCAGGUGCUGUUCUAAGCAUCUUAUAUGUCUUAACUCAAGGAUUCUUAACUUGCGGUCCUUCUGGGGUCCAUAAAUGCCACUUAUCUUCAUUCAUCUAUAAUUAAAUUCAGCAUUUCCUUCAAUAUGAAUGCAGGAUACAAGCACAGAGUGUCAGCAGUGCUUGGAACUUGGCCACCAUUAGAAACCAUAGCUACUUGCGUAUCCCGCCACAGUAGUUAAGAGUAUCUCCAAGUAUUGUUGGCACUCAUCAUUACUUUGCCAUUACAGUACUUAUGAAUCUUAGACGAUGAGAGCUUGUUAUUUAAGUUUUCACCAAAAAACAUGAUAAUACCAUAUCACAUAUCACAUACCAUAUCACAGCUAUGUUCUUAAAACUAUUUUGAGUACCAUGUUUCUAAUGAAUAUAAUUGGUUUCCUUCAGAAUUCAAUGUAUUUUAUUUCAAGCAGUUGAAAGCCGCUUUCUGAGAAGGGCUCCAUGGAGAACCCUAUGCAUUGAUUCACUCCUCCAGUGACCCCACAGACAGGUCUCAUCAUCAGCUCGUUAAUGGAGGAAACAUGAGGCAAGGGAAGGUGUGUAGUGUGCCCAAGAUCACACAGAUAUUGAGUGGUUGUGCUUAUUAAAUCUGCCGGCUCUUUGCACAGCCUAUGGGCUGCUGUGGGGUUGUUCUCUGUAUUAUGCAUGUGUGUGUGAUUAUCCUGAGGCUGGUGUCAGGCAUAUGGGCCUGUGGAUCUCCAUUUCUGCAUGUGGGUGUGUGUAAUGCGUAUGUGUAGCAAAGGGAACCAUUCUGGGCCUCCUGACUCCUGGGAUUACUUUGAGGAACCACAUCCCCAUAUCAUAACUUCAUCCUCAUAUCCGGCUGAAGGGCUGGGCUGAGGAAAGCUCAGGGGCCAGGCUGGGCGUGAGGUGGGCAGCAGGUGAAGCGGGGGUAGGAGGGCCAGCAUCGUUUCAGGCUUUGGCCUCUGGCCUGAACCUACUCUUGUGACCUGGGACAGCUUGGGGGCAGGGAAUCUGGAGGAAAGAGGAUGCAGGUCCCAGAGUGAGACCUUCUGCCCAGGGACAUGUGAGUCGAGAACACCUGAGACCAUGGUUCUUGUGCCAGGCUGCCUGGUGGGGGUGCUGUGGGCAGCUGGAAGGGAAAGCCACCUUCAGGUAAGGCCCCUGGGCUCUCAGCACUCCACUGCAGCACCCCUUCCCUUCAGAGCCCAGACGUGCGGGUUUUCCCAGGAUCAAGGAGUUGUGUGACACUAGCUGGGUGUCCCACCACUUAAGUCCAUUCUGACACCCUCCCUCCCUUCAGUUUCAAGUUCAAGUUGUCAUCAGAUUUGAAAAAUCGCUGAAGCAGCUCCCAGAACUCAGGGAAACGGUUUAUUUCCUAGAUCACCUGUCUGUCAUAAAGGGAUCCGACUUAGGAAUGUGGAAAAGAUGCGUGGGGCAAGGUAGGUGGGAAGGGCCCAGAGCUUCCGUGUCCCCUGGGGUGUGUUCCUCAGCCUGCUGUUCCACGUGCUCACCAACCCCGCGGCUCUCAAAGCCCAGCCUCUGGGGUUUGAAUGGAGGCUUUUUUAUAUAAGCACAAUCGAUGAAUUCAUUGGCCAAAGAGUCUACCUUCAGUUCCUUGCUGCUGCCCAUGGUCCCGGGGGUGCGGGUGGGGUGGGGCCCGAAAGUCUGAGGCUGGUUGGGUCCCCUGACAACCAGUCCCCAGCCAUGGGGCUUUCCGAGAGACUCACCUCAUGAACAAACACUCAGGUGAGGAAAAGGAAAUUCCUUUCACCUUCAGGGCUGGGAGCGUUUUCAGGAACCAAUGACAAACCACCAAACCAUGAUGAAGGCUACUUUCCUGGAUCUUAUCACUCAGGGAAUUCCAAGCAUUUAGGAACUGUGUGCCAGGAAUGGAGAUGAAGACCGAACCGGGGUGUUUCUUAUGACAGAUCAUAACGUCGCAGGAACCUAGGAAAGCCUGCCACCCACACAGGGAAUUUGCGGUCCCCAGCCUGAAGGCAAUUAGUCCCCAGAAAGGUCUUUGGAUGUGGGCCAUCGGAGUCACAGAGCGGAGGGCUCCUCCUACCCUGUGGGCCUUGGGACGGGGAGUCACAAAGAAGAGUCCCUUUGAUCGCAACUCUGGCCGGUUGUGUGCCUCCCCAAGGUGAAGUGACAGCAGUAAACAUAACACAUUUUUGUCCCCUGGA